rnacentral:rRNA from 1 species
UACGGGGGGGGCAAGCGUUGUUCGGAAUUACUGGGCGUAAAGGGCUCGUAGGCGGCCAACUAAGUCAGACGUGAAAUCCCUCGGCUUAACCGGGGAACUGCGUCUGAUACUGGAUGGCUUGAGUUUGGGAGAGGGAUGCGGAAUUCCAGGUGUAGCGGUGAAAUGCGUAGAUAUCUGGAGGAACACCGGUGGCGAAGGCGCUCUGCUAGGCCGUAACUGACACUGAGGGACGAAAGCUAGGGGAGCGAAUGGG